AGGAAUAUUGGUCAAUGGGCGCGAGCCUGAACCAGCCAAGUAGCGUGAAGGAUGAAGGUCCUACGGAUUGUAAACUUCUUUUAUAAGGGAAUAAAGUCAUCUACGUGUAGGUGUUUGUAUGUACCUUAUGAAUAAGCAUCGGCUAACUCCGUGCCAGCAGCCGCGGUAAUACGGAGGAUGCGAGCGUUAUCCGGAUUUAUUGGGUUUAAAGGGAGCGUAGACGGGUCGUUAAGUCAGCUGUGAAAGUUUGGGGCUCAACCUUAAAAUUGCAGUUGAUACUGGCGUCCUUGAGUACGGUUGAGGCAGGCGGAAUUCGUGGUGUGGCGGUGAAAUGCUUAGAUAUCACGAAGAACCCCGAUUGCGAAGGCAGCCUGCUAAACCGCCACUGACGUUGAGGCUCGAAAGUGUGGGUAUCAAACAGGAUUAGAUACCCUGGUAGUCCACACGGUAAACGAUGGAUACUCGCUGUUGGCGAUAGACUGUCAGCGGCUUAGCGAAAGCGUUAAGUAUCCCACCUGGGGAGUACGCCGGCAACGGUGAAACUCAAAGGAAUUGACGGGGGCCCGCACAAGCGGAGGAACAUGUGGUUUAAUUCGAUGAUACGCGAGGAACCUUACCCGGGCUUAAAUUGCAGAUGAAUUACGGUGAAAGCCGUAAGCCGCAAGGCAUCUGUGAAGGUGCUGCAUGGUUGUCGUCAGCUCGUGCCGUGAGGUGUCGGCUUAAGUGCCAUAACGAGCGCAACCCUUGUUGUCAGUUACUAACAGGUUCCGCUGAGGACUCUGACAAGACUGCCAUCGUAAGAUGUGAGGAAGGUGGGGAUGACGUCAAAUCAGCACGGCCCUUACGUCCGGGGCUACACACGUGUUACAAUGGGGGGUACAGAGGGCCGCUACCACGCGAGUGGAUGCCAAUCCCCAAAACCUCUCUCAGUUCGGACUGGAGUCUGCAACCCGACUCCACGAAGCUGGAUUCGCUAGUAAUCGCGCAUCAGCCACGGCGCGGUGAAUACGUUCCCG
rnacentral:rRNA from 1 species